UUGUUCUGUUACCAUGUUGUUUUGUUGUUGGCUGAUCUGAGUGUCGCUGAUGGGUGGGUACUGUUAUGAUCUGCAGUUCGAGUUGUUGGGGAAGGCAGGCAAUUUUACAGAAAAUCGUGUGAAACAGGAAUGCUAGUAAACCGGUCAUGAUGUUUUAUCUCUGUGUUUUACACAUACGCACAUACAUUUAUGUAUUUUAUUCUUAGCUUCUUGGUCUUCGUUCUCAGUAGUCAGCGUUGUGCAUUUCUGUAUAUCCACGGAUGUGUGUCUAAUCAUGUCUGUUUGUCUGUCUGGGAGGCUAUAUUUGUAUAAGGGCCUUAACUCUGACAAACACAUUUUAUUUUCGAUUAUCCAGUUGUGCUUCUUCUAAAUAAGAUGUAUCUGUUUUAUUUUAGGUUAUAAAAACAGUCGCUUUAUUUUGGUUUUGCAUAUUGCUAACACCAAUGACAACGUGUUUUUGAUUCUUAUUUCAAGAUAUAUGUUGUGCUCCUAUAUGCAGAGCAAACAUUUAAAUGAAUCAUCCCAAUCCGUUGAUGAGGGAACCUUUUCAGAAAAUCAAGCCCCAUUCUCUGCGGCUGGGGCAUCCACGAUUUGACAGCUGCAGGGGCUUCUCGUCUCUCCAUUCAACAUUGUAAUUUUAGAUAAUAUCCCAAGCGUUCACUCUCCUCGGCAAUUUGUACAUGAAUAACCGAAUAAUUUCAUCUUUUGUUUCGUCUUUGCCACUUCAAAUCCAAAUAAAGAUGCCUUUUAGUAUUAAAAGUGGUAGAAAAUUACAGGUAAUUAUCUUUGACGGUAAAAACGCUGUAAUCAGCGGGCUACAUCAAAAAUUACCCUAAUUAUGUCUGCAUUUAUGAGAAUGGAAAAAAACCCUCUCUUGGAUAAAACCCAUAAAUUGUCCCAAAUAUCUCCUUCAUAUUGAACGAGACUGCAGCUGGAUGCUUUGUUCAGGAUCGAUCCUGUGGCGAAAGGCAUUCAGCGUCUUGCAGAUCAAGGCAGAGAGAAAGGGGAAAAACAUUUUGUCAAUACCUUAAUAAUUGAGCUCGAGAAUGACAAGAUGGACAAGAUGCGGCUCUAUUCUGUAGGAAAACACUUUGAGAAACCACCAGCUCGGGAAAUUCAGCUGCCGAUACCCUGGAGAUCCUGCCGUCCGCAACUUGUUUUGUUAAUCGAAAUGAAGGGAGGAUUGCGUGAUCCCAAGCACAGAGCGGCUCGCUGUUUCCUCUCAUUACACAAGACGGCCUUACCAGCGAGGAGGAAUAUGCAUGAAUACAUUAAAAGGUAAUGAGGAAGCUGUCAGGAGAGGGUCGUUCGGGCCAGCGCUCCGAGUUGGAGAGCUUUAACAAACAGCAUUACGUGAUGGACUUGUCUUCUCUCUGCACGAGAAGAGAAAAGGGGUGGAGUUCACUGGUGUUACUAAUGGCAACUGUUGCCAGGUUUUCGAUGAUGCUGCUAAUGUGGAUGCAGAGGAAUUUCACUUGCGCCUUGUUUUUUGACUGAUAAGUUAAAUAUUUGAAUUCUUAAGCUACAAAUUCUGUCAAUUCUCAAGCAUUUAAGUUUAUGAAUCAGAAUUAAAUAAUUUUACAUACAAAUAAAAGCAUAUUAAGUUCAUUACGUUUGUGUCUAAAUUCAACCUUGAUGUUUUAAGUAACUUUUGUGAAAAUAACAAGUUAAAAAUGUUAAAUACUUAUUCAAACCUUUUCUUUUUGGAAUAUUUACAAGAAUAAAAGAUCAUAUGUAAUGGCAAAUUAUUUUCUGUUCACAAAGUGUACAUUUUAAAGGGCACCUAUGAUGAAAAUCAUCUUUUUAAAGCUGUUUGGACAGAAGCUAUAGUGUGUCCACAGUCAUAUUAAGUAAUAUUAAGACAAUAUUAUGACGUUCCUGAUGUUAAAAAAAGGAUCCAAAUCCCUCCCAUUUUUAGGCCAACCGCAACGUAAUGUAGGAGUGCAGUUUCCCUGCCCACUGAAUUGAUUGACAGCCACGUGUUAACAUGUUUUCAUAUUAAUGCGUAUAAUCAUAUCAACAAGACAGGACGUGUGCAAAGCAACUGGGACUAAAAGAUCUGUUCAGCUCUCUGUGAUCAUCAACCAUCAUCAAAUGUGAUCAAGAAUGAGUUUAACAAGUUUAAAAUGUGUUUAAAACAGUGCAUGUUAAUGAAUCACGAUGAUUUACUUCAGCUUUACUUAUCACCAUCUGUGAGCAAAAGGAUCCCAAGGAUUGGCUCAAAAGACAAUGUUACUAUGUUUUAGAUGAUAAUUUCUCUACAGCUCCUUAACUCUUAAACAACCAGUAGAUUAUCCAUGGCUGUAAUAACCCAAUGAUUAUAAUGCAUUUGUUUUUUUUUACAAAUUCUUAAUCAAUCUAUAAUAUCAAUAUAAACCAUCAGUAUUAGAAAUUUCCAUCACACAUUUAAAAAUGUAAUUAAAAUGUAUUUUUAUCUAGAGGGUUUUAUUUAUUUGACAUUUAAAUGGACAAUUAAUGUUUGAUUUUUGGGUUAUUACAGCCAUGGAUAAUCUACUGGUUGUUUAAGAGUUAAGGAGCUGUAGAGAAAUUAUCAUCUAAAACAUAGUAACAUUGUCUUUUGAAUUGAAUUGAAUUGAAUUGAAUCUGUUAUUGAAAUAUUAUUGUUUUUCUGUCUUCUGUAUCACAAGGUCAAAAUUAACAACAAUGAUCUUUUUUUUUUUUGCUCAGAAAAUAAUAUAAACUUAAACCAGGCACAAUCUAAUGUACAGAAACUUUGACACCUGAAUAAAGAUUUACACUUAUUCUGUGAAUAAACUUUUUAAAUACAUUUCUAUUUGUUGACUACUUAAAGUAAAAAUGACCUUAAAUGAGAUGGAGGACAUGAUAAUUAUGUCAUGGAUUGCUUAUAUACAAAGUAAAGAGUUUUAAAUUCAUGUCUAUGUGUAAAUUUAACUCUUGUGAAAAUAAAAAGUCAAAUAAGCAAACAA